GAUGAACGUUGGCGGUGUGCCUAAUACAUGCAAGUCGAACGGAGUUAAUAGCAAUAUUGGCUCAGUGGCGAACGGGUGAGUAACGCGUUGGUGAUCUGCCUUGAAGUGUGGAAUAACGUUCCGAAAGGAACGCUAAUACCGCAUGUGCUCUCGAUUUUCAGAAAGUUGAGAGUAAAGGAUUUAUUCGCUUCAAGAGGAGCCUGCGUCCCAUCAGCUGGUUGGUAGGGUAAAGGCCUACCAAGGCUAUGACGGGUAGGGGACCUGAGAGGGUGGCCCCCCACAAUGGAACUGAAACACGGUCCAUACACCUACGGGUGGCAGCAGUAGGGAAUAUUAGAAAUGGACGAAAGUCUGAUCUAGCAACACCGCGUGUGCGAAGAAGGCCUUGGGUCGUAAAGCACUUUUGGAAGGAAUAGGAAGGAAUGUACUUCCAGAAUAAGUCUCGGCUAACUACGUGCCAGCAGCCGCGGUAAAACGUAGACGUG
rnacentral:rRNA from 1 species